CCUCCCAAAAGGUAACGGAGGCGCGCAAAGGUUCUCUCAGUACGGUCGGAAAUCGUACGUAGAGUGUAAAGGCAAAAGAGAGCUUGAUUGCAAGACAUACAGGUCGAGCAAGGAUGAAAAUCGGACUGAGUGAUCCGGUGGUUCUGCGUGGAAGGGCCAUCGCUCAACGGAUAAAAGCUACCCUGGGGAUAACAGGCUUAUCUCCCC
rnacentral:rRNA from 1 species